rnacentral:lncRNA from 1 species
CACCUGCUGAGGGUUACCGCAGCCCACCUACCUCCACACCAAUCCACGUCCAACAUUUGGAUAUUAGGAACUGCCACAGCUGUCAUCAGUACAGCUGGAUAUUAUGGCUCAUGUGAUAGGCCUUAAGCCACUCUCUAGAAGAGGCGAAGAAAAUCUAAGAUUAAAAAUGAAAAAUACUGUGUGUUUCUUGCAGGAUUCUUGCCCAGCUUGUGUAUUAAGACCUGAGGCCUAAUCCAAUCUGCUAUGUUCACUCCCUUCAGGCAACGGAGAGACAUGAACAGGAACAGGCAGCUCCAGCCACAUACAGUUAAGUCAUAAAUAUACAAAUUAUUACACAACAUAAUUUGCAUUAAAUAUUACAUAUUACGAGGAGAAGCACUAAGUCAGUAACUACGAAAACAAGCCAGGAUCUGGUCUAUCCUGCACAUCUGAUCCCCAUCACACAUGGGGAUCAUGCCUCAGAUACUCCUUCCCAGCUGCCGUGACCUGGUGAGAAGGGAUGUGCACGCCCGAAGUUUGCUUUCUCAGAGAAACAUCCCCGUGAUUGACUCAACCAGUCACUUGAUUUCACAGACACUUCAUGGCGAUGUAGCUCCAGGAGAAUUUGUGAGACUAUAAAGAGGGAAUUAAAGAACAAGCAGUCAAAGGAGCAAUUUUACUCUAUCCUAAGCACAGCACCACACUUGCACGCAAGGAGAAGUAAGCCCAAUAACUGGAAGAAUCCCAUUCAGCACGCCGCGUGCUCAUCUGUGUGGAUUUGACCAUCAAAGAGACAGGCUUGAACAUAAAGUUAUAUUCUGCUCUACUUGUGUUUAUACUUACCUGACCUUUACAUAUGCAUAGUCCCAGGGCCUGCUCAUGUACACUGAGAACAUCUUGUAAAUAUGAAGAGGUUCAUUGCCUUAAAAAUCAAUUUAUUUAGUUACACUCCUAAUCUUCCUUAUUGCUUUGUGUAACCAAAUGCACUGUUCUCCACAAAGGUGACAGAAUAGUAAUAAUUUUAAAGAGGUAAAAAAU